rnacentral:lncRNA from 1 species
ACGUGAUCACGUGCCCUUCAAACUUUUAAGAACUGUGAGCAGAGGCCAGUAAUUUUGGAGACAGGACCUCGGCCUGAAAGUGAUAGAUGUCUUUGUUGUUACUGAGUGUGGGCCAGGUGUAAGGUUUGUAAACGGGGGAUGAGGAACAGAGCGGGACCGGAGUGUCUCAUUUUUCCUCUUCUCGUUUUCCUGGGGAGUUAUAAGUUAGACAUUUAUGCUGCUUCCUUUGUCUCCACCUACACUGGUUCAGCUCCUUUUGGCACAAAGAUUCAACAAAUUAAGGAGUAACUUUUUUUUUUUUUUUUUUUUUGAGACGGAGUCUCGCUCCGUCGCCCAGGCUGGAGUGCAGUGGCGCCAUCCCAGCUCACUGCAAGCUCUGUCUGCUGGGUUUACGCCAUUCUCCUGCCUCAGCCUCCCGAGUAGCUGGCACUACAGGCUCCCGCCACCACGCCCGGCUAAUUUUUUGUAUUUUUAGUAGAGACGGGGUUUCACCGUGUUAGCCAGGAUGGCCUCGAUCUCCUGACCUCGUGAUCCGCCCGCCUCGGCCUCCCAAAGGGCUG